rnacentral:SRP_RNA from 14 species
GCUGUCGGAGUGUCCGAGCACGCUGGCGCAGAAGAGGCCCCCCAUGUAGACCAUGACGGCGAGGAAGAGCAGGACCCAGGAGACGGCCGGCAGGAGCGAGGUGAGGCCGGCAACGAGCAGGGCAAGCUCGCGCGAGAGC